rnacentral:lncRNA from 1 species
UAAAUUAGUUGAUUAACUUAAUUGUUUUAUAUAAAUAUUAAUGGCCUAAGUCUUGCAUAAAAGCGAUGAAAAUAUGUAAAUGAAGGAUAUCCUCGCCCGAUACCCAAAAAGGAAAGUUUUUAGUAUUUUUGUUAUUUGUACAAAUGUGAGAAUAUAAAAUACAAUAUAAAAUUUAAGGACUCCUUUGACUGCAACUGCUGACGAGUAUUCCAAAAUAACCUGUAUAAAAACUUGUAAAAAAAUGUUAAUAAUAAGUAAAAAAUAAUAAAAAUAAAUUGAACAAAUAUAUCUGCAUAUGAGUAUUUAAAAAUAUAUUUUUUUGUUUAAAAGUGGACUCAGAUAAAUUCAUGACUAUGAAAUAGUUGCUAAAUUAAUUGGUCAUCCUAAAUCGUAUUAUUACGAAGUGGUUGCUUAAUUAUUGGCCGUCCUAAAUCGUCUAGCCAAAAUAUAAAUUGUAAAAUCUUAUGUUGUUAUAAAGUUUCAUCAUUGUCCAAAAUAUUUAUUUAUUAACAUAUUUGUAUACAUAAAAUCCAUCUUUUGUUUACGAACACCUCAACAUUAAUAAGAAUUUUUUCAUUGACAAAUAUCUUGUUCUUUAUCAGUCAAAUAAAUUGUAACUAACAAAAUUUAUCCAAAAUCAAUGUCUGAUAUUUUAAUAGCAGCAGACCCAGUGACAAAAUAAUAGAAACGGAGCAAACUAACAGUAAUAGCAAAAAGUAAGGAAACAUCAGCAAAAUAAAAGAAAACCCAUGGUCAAAAGUCUGGCUAGAUCUAAACAAAUUAGACAAAACAAGAAUAAUAAGAAUAUUAUCAAGCAUUAAAUAAAUAAAAGCACCAACCAAUACCGCUGCUUCGACCAUGAUGAAACGCCGGAGCAGUUGGUGGCAAAUAUACGAGCGCAAGGAGGUAUCGCCGGAGCUACUCUCGGAGGAGAAAGAACAGCGCAAUGAAGGAGAAGGGGGAGGUUGCCGUGUGAUCGAGACGAAGGGAGGCGGCAUCUGAUAGAGGCUCGCCGGUCCGACGGCCGUCGUUGGCUGCUGCUGUUGCUGGCUUGUGGUUGGUGGUUGCCGGUGUUGUGGGUUGGUGGGUGGCUACUGAAAGAUUAGAAGGAAGGGCGUGAAGGUGGUUUUAUCUUGAUUGGCAGUGGAUGUCACCGGAGUUCAGCCGUGCUCACCGGAGGAACGAGUAAAGAGGGUGGGUGUGUUCGGAGAAAGUUCUGAUUUUGUGUGUUCUAUCAGUGUGUGUACUGUGCCUUGUUGUAUAUAAGAAAAAGGAUCUCAUAUAUAGUGUAUUGUGAUUUGUGUGUAAUGUAUCCGUUUGAAAUGAAACGUUGCAAAAGUUGACAAUGCCCAAGAUUUUCUUUGAUUCAUUUUUGACUUGUGUAGCAUAAAUCAAAUUAAACAUUACUUUCUUUGUCUUGAGAUGACAUAAAGAAAAGCAAAAUUUGCCUUUUGUCUCAACAAUGUUUGAAAGAAAACACAUUCUAAAACAAACAACGAAUCUUU